UAAAAGUUGCUUAAUGCAUGCGUGUUGAUAUCAUUAAGGUUGUGUGUCUGCGGCUGGUGUCACCGUGACCUCCGUUCUGCUGCUGCUCUCACCCGGCCAACUUAUUGAUCCCAUCAUGCACUCUGCAGCCUCCAGGGAGGGUCCCGUGCAUGUGAGCGCUCCGUCCUUCCACUGUCCUCACAUCCGUCCUCUUCAUCGCCUCCCUUCGGUCUUCCCUCACCCCUCCUCCCUCUCGCAGCCCAUACGUUUAGCUCGGCCGGUGUCGUGCUCGCUUGGACGCAGAGAGAUCGAACGUGUUGCAACACGUUUUGUAACGUCCCGAUGCAGCGAGACAUCAGCCGAAAGACCUGUUUUUUUUUUACAGAGGUGACGGAGCUCCGUGGGUGAUUUCAUGUGACGGUUUGAAGUGGAUUUCUGAAAGGAGGUGCAGGUACAGAGGAAUGAGGAGAAGGGAUGAACAGCGCCGGCGGUGGAGAUCCUCAGGGGAGUCGAUCCGGGCCGACGCCGUCGGUGCAGCGCCUCGGUUAAAGAGACCUCCACCUUUCCUCCACCCACCCUCAGCGAGAAGACCCUCGUCAUCCUCUGCCGCCUCCUUCCGCCCUCUUCUGUCCCCGUGGACACGGCUCGUUUUUGAACAUGCGAGACAUUUUAAGCUUGCCGAAGAAUAAUUCCGACCCGGCGACCCGGCAGGACGGCAGUGACGAGGACACACCGCUGCAGCGUCUGCGUGAUGUUUACUGCCCGGAGGACCGCGGGACGUCUUUAGGGGACACCAACGACGCCAACGGGAAUCAACGUGUUGUCAGAGACAAUCUGAACGUCCUCAGAGGUCCCGUCUGCGCUGCAGGAGGGACGCCGGAGAGGGACGCGAAUGCAAAGAAGAGGAAGAGCGUGUCCUUCGAGGAUGACGUCAUCGUCUACCUGUUCGAUCAGGAGAGUCCCACCUCGGAGCUGCACUGUGAGGCCCGCACGGCUCCGCCGGACGGAGCAUUUGGAGACACCGGUACUAAUUUAACGGGCGAUGCCCGUGAUUUCUGCAUGUUUAUCUCAUGUUUAACAUCAACACGGGCAUUUUGCAAGAAACUUUUCUUCCCAAGUAAUGUAAGAAAAUAUUCAACUCUCCACUGGACUGUACUUAUCACGGUCACUGGUUGUCUUAGAACUCUUAGAGCUGAAUUCAUUAAUAAACGUGUUGUUCAUUGAUGAAUAAGUUAAUAUGUGGACCCUUGUAGGUAUUUCACUAACUACUUAAGCUGAAGAGGCCUCUGCGAUGCUGCAGGAUCCGGGCGGGACACUGGGAGGGAUAACAAACUUUAGCUUGGAGUGGGAAGACGACUUUUCAGCUCUGGAGAAGCGGCAGGCCUCGACCCCGCCGACCCCCAGCGGCGCUGCUCUGCCCCGACGCUUCGCGCUGUCCCAAACCUGCCUGUUCCUCACACAUGUCAGCGAGUCAGACCUUGAGCUGUGAGAUAAAGACUUGUUUACACACACA